rfam:Ficedula albicollis isolate OC2 chromosome 1, whole genome shotgun sequence.
UUUCAGGUUUUAUUCAAAACCAAAAAGUAUAAGAAUAAAUUUUCUU